rnacentral:tRNA from 1 species
GGUCCUGUGGUCUAGUCUGGAUAUGAUACUAGCCUUCUAAGCUGGGGAUCAAGGGUUCGAAUCCCUUCAGGAUCG